rnacentral:tRNA from 1 species
GCCAGGGUAGCUCAAUGGUAGAGCAGCGGAAUCAUAAAUCGCAGGUCGUUGGUUCAACUCCUCCCCCUGGCA